AUACUUGUUGCUCUUUAGAAAUCAUGGUUUCCCUUUAUGGUGAUUUGUUCUUUAUGGCAUUUAAUAGCUUUCAUUACUUCAGAUACAGAACUAACACCUGGACUCUGCCAUACCUGAUACUAGCUGUAUCUCCAGGGAUGUAUCCUAAAGCUCACUACCUUGUAUUCCAGCCUCGAAUGUGCUCAGUUUGCAUCCAUACCAUGCAGCUCUUCAGCACUAAGCCUGUCCAGUCAGCAAGACACCAUAGUCCCAAUGGUGUUGUGCCUACUGCAGCACGUGCUGGGCUCUGCUUUCCCCAGCCAGUCCAUACAGACACUGCUGCGAAACAGGAAAGAAACGUCAGACAUCUUCAGUAAAGAAGUCCAGGUCCAAAGAGGAUGGGGAAAAGUUAAGAAACACAGCUAAGCUUCAUUUUAUAAUAAAACGGCGCAAAAUCCAGUCGUGAAGAGGAGAUGGAAGAUGAUAUCUGCAAGAGAAAUGAAGACUAAAUGAGGAGCAACAGGCACGCGGGGUUAAUCAGCUAGAUUUAUGGUUAUGCUGAAGAACCAACUAGCUGUGCAAAGAAAACUUCGGUGCAGCUUUCCUGCUGCUCCUAAGCCUGGCCUCUUUCCCACUCACGUGCAAUUCAUCAGAGCUUGCCCAGGCUGUUGCUGAGGUCAAACGUGGGUGAACAGGGUUUACAUUGCUAACUUGGUGCGUAAGUGGUUUGGGCAUUUAUCUUUAAUGCCAAAUGGGUGCAGUUACUCACUUUGUGAAUGGGGAGAGUUUCACUGAGCUAUUCUGUCAGAGCUAUGAACCUGGAAGAGACCAAGCUCUGUUCAAGAUUCCUGCUCUCACUGGGGAGCAGUUCUGCUCCCUGUGCUUGCUCCUGCUCUGCAAGCCACCAGCUGCUCCCCAGUUCAUUGCUUCCCAAAGGAAGAAACACACCAGAAACCCGGCCACUUACUGCGGACAGAGAUCUCAGCCACCAAAACACCUCCAGUUUGUUCCAUGCGCUGUUUUCGUUUGUCACAUGUCUCAAGAGAUCAGAGAGAAAACUGUGUAUAAUGGUUGAAUUAUACAAAAUUAAUAUAUCCAAAUAUAUAUCCAAAGCCAGUUCUCAUAUUUCCAACUAAGUAAGUAAAAUCUGUGUCAAUUCUUCUGCACAUUUUCUAGGGACUGUUUUUUUUCUGUAAUUGGGACAUUUUAGUGCAGGAGAGGUUCAAGAGCUUUUACUGCAUAUUUCACAAGGAUUUUAGUGUGCCACAGCUUUUACGGUGGCUGUCAGUCUAAGUGCCCUUUUCAGCUGUGAGGUGGCGGAGUGCAGAUGAGCAUCCACUUGCUGAUCAUACCUCCUCCUCGGCUGCCCUUUCCAUGCUGCCACAAACAAACCCCCCUGUCAAGAAGGAAUGGGGUAGCUGAGCUCCAUCUAUUUAACCCAUGAUCUCUAUGAAGACUUCUGUUGUUGUUUAUUGCUAAGCGUAAUUAUUGCCCAGUGGCUAUGAGCGUGAAGCACCAAAACCCUUCCAAACAGAUCAUCUCAUACCCAGCUCUAAUGACUCCUGUCACAGCUGACAAGGUCUGUAUUGGAGGCAUUGCUCUCUAGCUUAAAAGUCCUUGUCCAUUCCCUGACCUUUGCAAGUCCCCAGCUGUGAGCAUUUUGUACAAAACUGGUGUGUGAUAAUUCUGGUUAUGCCUUGCUUGGUUCAGCCUUAAUCGCAGUAGACCACCAGCUGCAUUUUUGGGUUGGCUGUGGACUCCGUGGAGGUUGCCUGAUGGAGCAAUUAUCCUAUCCUGGAGGGCAGGGAGAGAAUUCCACCCUGUGCCUGUAAGGGUGAUGUAGAUGUUUGAAAGUAAU